rnacentral:rRNA from 1 species
AAUAGAUACCCAGGUAGUCCACGCCGUAAACGAUGAGUGCUAGGUGUUAGGGGGUUUCCGUCCCUUAGUGCUGCAGCUAACGCAUUAAGCACUCCGCCUAGGGAGUACGGUCGCAAGACUGAAACUCAAAGGAAUUGACGGGGGCCCGCACAAGCGGUGGAGCAUGUGGUUUAAUUCGAAGCAACGCGAAGAACCUUACCAGGUCUUGACAUCCCGCUGACCGCCAUGGAGACAUGGCUUUCCCUUCGGGGACAGCGGUGACAGGUGGUGCAUGGUUGUCGUCAGCUCGUAUCGUGAGAUGUUGGGUUAAGUCCCGCAACGAGCGCAACCCUUGUCCUUAGUUGCCAUCAUUCAGUUGGGCACUCUAAGGAGACUGCCGUACAAAUACGGAGGAAGGUGGGGAUGACGUCAAAUCAUCAUGCCCCUUAUGACCUGGGCUACACACGUGCUACAAUGGGUGGUACAAAGGGCAGCAAAACCCGCGAGGGGGAGCGAAUCCCAAAAAAGCCAUCUCAGUUCGGAUUGCAGG